rnacentral:rRNA from 1 species
UACGUAGGGUGCAAGCGUUUGUCCGGAAUUAUUGGGCGUAAAGAGCGUGUAGGCGGCUUUACAGGUCCGUUGUGAAAACUCGAGGCUCAACCUCGAGACGCCGGUGGAAACCGUAAGGCUAGAGUCCGGAAGAGGAGAGUGGAAUUCCUGGUGUAGCGGUGAAAUGCGCAGAUAUCAGGAAGAACACCCGUGGCGAAGGCGGCUCUCUGGGACGGUACUGACGCUGAGACGCGAAAGCGUGGGGAGCGAACAGG